AGACCCGAAACCCGGUGAUCUAGCCAUGGGCAGGUUGAAGGUUGGGUAACACUAACUGGAGGACCGAACCGACUAAUGUUGAAAAAUUAGCGGAUGACCUGUGGCUGGGGGUGAAAGGCCAAUCAAACCGGGAGAUAGCUGGUUCUCCCCGAAAGCUAUUUAGGUAGCGCCUCGUGAAUUCAUCUCCGGGGGUAGAGCACUGUUUCGGCUAGGGGGCCAUCCCGGCUUACCAACCCGAUGCAAACUGCGAAUACCGGAGAAUGUUAUCACGGGAGACACACGGCGGGUGCUAACGUCCGUCGUGAAGAGGGAAACAACCCAGACCGCCAGCUAAGGUCCCAAAGUCAUGGUUAAGUGGGAAACGAUGUGGGAAGGCCCAGACAGCCAGGAUGUUGGCUUAGAAGCAGCCAUCAUUUAAAGAAAGCGUAAUAGCUCACUGGUCGAGUCGGCCUGCGCGGAAGAUGUAACGGGGCUAAACCAUGCACCGAAGCUGCGGCAGCGACGCUGAUGCGUUGUUGGGUAGGGGAGCGUUCUGUAAGCCUGCGAAGGUGGCCUGUGAGGGUUGCUGGAGGUAUCAGAAGUGCGAAUGCUGACAUAAGUAACGAUAAAGCGGGUGAAAAGCCCGCUCGCCGGAAGACCAAGGGUUCCUGUCCAACGUUAAUCGGGGCAGGGUGAGUCGACCCCUAAGGCGAGGCCGA
rnacentral:rRNA from 1 species